GAAGAGGGAGAGAGAGUGCUGGAAGGAUCUAUGAACAAUAGAGAAAGAUACAAUAGAGAUUGGGGGAUUUAACGUGUAUGAGCUGGAAUGUUUUGGACUAACCUGUUGGCAUUUGGACCUGGACCUACUGAGAACCCAAUUCGUGUACCGAACCCUGCUAUCGUUGACCUCGCCUACGGCCUGGGUGGACCAGGAUGGAGAAACAAACACACAGGUCGGUGGCUCCAGAAGGGCUCCAGCACAGGGGAGCAUCUCCUGCCGUGAAUCCCAGCAGAGGGCCACUUCACUGGGCUGGGGGAGCAGCUGGGUGACAUGCUGGUUCUCCACUCUUUCAUCUCCUAGGGGGACGGCAGACUGUUUGCAUGUGUGUGUGCGUGCACCCAUGCAUGCGGAUGUGCAGGCGUGUGUAUUAGGUUGGAAUGGCAGGAACACGGUUAGCAACAUUUACAGAGAUUUACCACCCAAAAUCACUCCCUUUUCCCGAGACAAAUAACUUUGAGAAAACGGUAAAUAAAAAUAAAUGGAACUGUUAAACUAUA